CCAAAGCUCCUGAGUUGCCAGAGCCUGAAUUGCCAAAAGUUCCUGAGUUGCCAAAGCCUGAAUUGCCUAAGUUGCCUGACAUGCCAAAACCUGAAGAACCCAAGGUUCCUGAGUUACCAAAGCCUGAGUUGCCUAAGCUGCCUGACAUGCCAAAACCUGAAGAACCCAAGGUUCCUGAGUUACCAAAGCCUGAGUUGCCUACGCUGCCUGACCUGCCAAAACCCGAAGAACCCAAGGUUCCUGAGUUACCAAAGC
rnacentral:lncRNA from 1 species